UCUUUUUUAAAAAACUUGCCCUAUAAUCUUAUAGUUAGCAGGACUAUUUAAAGACAUAACACGUAAGAAUCGGAGGAAGAAAAACGUGGAUUUGGAGAAGUCUGGGGCCAGCUUGCUUCCUGCAGGCUCAAGAUCAACCAUCCAACAGAG